rnacentral:rRNA from 1 species
UGGCUUCCGGAGCUAACGCGUUAAGUCGACCGCCUGGGGAGUACGGCCGCAAGGUUAAAACUCAAAUGAAUUGACGGGGGCCCGCACAAGCGGUGGAGCAUGUGGUUUAAUUCGAUGCAACGCGAAGAACCUUACCUGGUCUUGACAUCCACGGAAGUUUUCAGAGAUGAGAAUGUGCCUUCGGGAACCGUGAGACAGGUGCUGCAUGGCUGUCGUCAGCUCGUGUUGUGAAAUGUUGGGUUAAGUCCCGCAACGAGCGCAACCCUUAUCCUUUGUUGCCAGCGGUCCGGCCGGGAACUCAAAGGAGACUGCCAGUGAUAAACUGGAGGAAGGUGGGGAUGACGUCAAGUCAUCAUGGCCCUUACGACCAGGGCUACACACGUGCUACAAUGGCGCAUACAAAGAGAAGCGACCUCGCGAGAGCAAGCGGACCUCAUAAAGUGCGUCGUAGUCCGGAUUGGAGUCUGCAACUCGACUCCAUGAAGUCGGAAUCGCUAGUAAUCGUGGAUCAGAAUGCCACGGUGAAUACGUUCCCGGGCCUUGUACACACCGCCCGUCACACCAUGGGAGUGGGUUGCAAAAGAAGUAGGUAGCUUAACCUUCGGGAGGGCGCUUACCACUUUGUGAUUCAUGACUGGGGUGAAGUCGUAACAAGGUAACCGUAGGGGAACCUGCGGUUGGAUCAC